CUUACACAUGCAAGUCGCACGGUCGGGGCAACUCGGCAGUGGCGGACGGGUGAGGAACGCGUAGGAACAUGUCCUGGGGUGGGGGAUAACGCUGGGAAACUGGCGCUAAUACCGCAUGCGAGCUGAGGCUCAAAGCCGCGAGGCGCCUUGGGAGUGGCCUGCGUCCGAUUAGGUAGUUGGUGGGGUAACGGCCUACCAAGCCUGCGAUCGGUAGCUGGUCUGAGAGGACGACCAGCCACACUGGGACUGAGACACGGCCCAGACUCCUACGGGAGGCAGCAGUGGGGAAUAUUGGACAAUGGGCGGAAGCCUGAUCCAGCAAUGCCGCGUGGAUGAAGAAGGUCUUCGGAUUGUAAAGUCCUUUCGGCGGGGACGAUGAUGACGGUACCCGCAGAAGAAGCCCCGGCUAACUUCGUGCCAGCAGCCGCGGUAAUACGAAGGGGGCUAGCGUUACUCGGAAUUACUGGGCGUAAAGGGCGCGUAGGCGGCAUGGUCAGUCAGGCGUGAAAUUCCUGGGCUUAACCUGGGGGCUGCGCUUGAUACGGCUGUGCUAGAGGGCGGAAGAGGGUCGUGGAAUUCCCAGUGUAGAGGUGAAAUUCGUAGAUAUUGGGAAGAACAC
rnacentral:rRNA from 1 species